AUGCCGGGGCUGACCAAGGAGCACGUGAAGGUGCGCGUGGACAAGAACAUCCUGGUGAUCGAGGGCGAGGGCGAGAAGCAGCCCUGGGACGGCGACGACGACUCCGCGGUGCCAAGGUACAACCGCCGCAUCGAGAUGCCCGCCGACGCGUACAAGAUGGACAAGAUCAAGGCCGAGAUGCAGAAUGGCGUGCUCUGGGUCACCCUGCUCAAGGUCAAGGAGGAGGAGCGCAAGGACGUCUUCCACGUCAAGGUCGAGUAG
rnacentral:rRNA from 1 species